rnacentral:rRNA from 1 species
GGAUUAGAUACCCCACUAUGCUUAGUCCUAAACCUAGACAGUAAAUACAACACACUGUCCGCCAGAGAAUUACAAGCAAAAACUUCAAACUCAAAAGACUUGACGGUGCCCCACAUCAGCCUAGAGGAGCCUGUCCUAUAAUCGAUACCCCACGCUAUACCUUACCCCCCCUUGCAAAAUCAGCUUAUAUACCGCCGUCGCCAGCCCACCUUAUAAUAGACCCCACAGUGGACAAAAUAAUAAAAACUACAAAAACGUCAGGUCAAGGUGUAGCUCACGGGGGGAGCAGUGAUGGGCUACAUUUUCUAACACUAGAAAACCCAACCAUAAGCAACAUGAAAUGCCUGCCCAAAGGAGGAUUUAGCAGUAAACCCAGAGCAAGCCCCGCACAAUUGAACUCAGCCCUGGGGCGCGU